rnacentral:lncRNA from 1 species
AUCUAUUUCUGGGUAAGUCCAUGUCCUGCACUGUCCGCUCAUGUCAGCUGGGUUGUGUAAAUUUUAGGUUGAGUCUCAACACAGGCAAGAUCCAGAAGAGUGUAUUUGAAAGCCAAUGGGGAAAUACAUCGUGAAUUUAGUCUCAGCUUUUGCCAGUCGCUCAGAAGGAUUGUUCUGCUUUGGAGACCCCACCAGUGCUUCAGCGAUGUAUCCAGUUUGUGCUCCUGCAGGAACAAGAAGCACGACAGACACGGUACAGAAGAAAUACAACACUCUGUCAUGGAUAUCUUACACAACUCCAGUCCUGCAGAUGUAGUUUGGAAUUCUGAAGCAUUAUUCAAGUGAGUCCCUUCAUAGGUUGUCCUCCAAAAGAACCUGCGUGUAGAUCCUGACAGGAGCAACAGAGAAACCUGUGGGGUCAUCGUUCAAGAUGCUGUGAGUGCCAAGUGUUUUUUUCCUGCUCCUUCCUCUUAAAUAUUUCCUUUUUCAUUUCUCUGUAUUGACUUGGUAUCCUUUCAAGCAGAUGGGGUCAUUUUUUUUCCUGGAACCGUGCAGGAUUUUCUGAACCAAAACUGUUACCAUCUUCCUGUCAUCUUUUCAUUGUCAAGAGACAAAGCCCUGUGCAGCAC